GUCCACGCUGUAAACGAUGGAUACUAGGUGCUGCGGGUAUUGACCCCUGCGGUGCCGGCGCUAACGCAUUAAGUAUCCCGCCUGGGAAGUACGGCCGCAAGGUUAAAACUCAAAGGAAUUGACGGGGCCCGCACAAGCGGUGGAGCAUGUGGUUUAAUUCGACGCAACGCGAAGAACCUUACCCAGGCUUGACAUUGAUGGAAUCCUGUAGAAAUACGGGAGUACUCUUCGGAGACCUGAAAACAGGUGCUGCAUGGCUGUCGU
rnacentral:rRNA from 1 species